AUUGAACGCUGGCGGCAGGCUUAACACAUGCAAGUCGAGCGCGCGGCGGAUGGGUGAGUAAUGUCUGGGAAACCGCCUGAUGGAGGGGGCUAACUACUGGAAACGGUAGCCAAUACCGCAUACCAUCAGAUGUGCCCAGAUGGGAUUAGCUAGUAGGUGGGGUAAUGGCUCACCUAGGCGACGAUCCCUAGCUGGUCUGAGAGGAUGACCAGCCAAACUGGAACUGAGACACGGUCCAGACUCCUACGGGAGGCAGCAGUGUGGAAUAUUGCACAGUGGGCGCAAGCCUGAUACAGCCAUGCCGCGUGUGUGAAGAAGGCCUUCGGGGUGUAAAGCACUUUCAGCGAGGAGGCGUUACCCGCAGAAGAAGCACCGGCUAACUCCGUGCCAGCAGCCGCGGUAAUUC
rnacentral:rRNA from 1 species